GAGAUCGUUUCUGUGGGUGCGUCCGUUCCUUGAGAACUCAACAGCGUGCACUUGUCAAAUGCCAAUUUAUUCCUCGUCGGUCUGACUUUUGUUGGAUUGCGAGAGAUUCCUUUGGAUCAAAGUCCAACCUUCUUUUGGGGGUUGGCGUGAAAUUUCGUCAGUAAUGAUGUUUUUUCUUUGGUCAGUUUCGAACUCGCUGCGGCUGCCGUUUUCCCGGUGGUUGUUGCUUUUCUUUUUUAUGGAGAGUUUGAUCCUGGCUCAGGAUGAACGCUGGCGGCGUGCUUAACACAUGCAAGUCGAACGGUGAAGCCAAGCUUGCUUGGUGGAUCAGUGGCGAACGGGUGAGUAACACGUGAGCAACCUGCCCUGGACUCUGGGAUAAGCGCUGGAAACGGCGUCUAAUACUGGAUAUGAGACGUGAUCGCAUGGUCGUGUUUGGAAAGAUUUUUCGGUCUGGGAUGGGCUCGCGGCCUAUCAGCUUGUUGGUGAGGUAAUGGCUCACCAAGGCGUCGACGGGUAGCCGGCCUGAGAGGGUGACCGGCCACACUGGGACUGAGACACGGCCCAGACUCCUACGGGAGGCAGCAGUGGGGAAUAUUGCACAAUGGGCGGAAGCCUGAUGCAGCAACGCCGCGUGAGGGAUGACGGCCUUCGGGUUGUAAACCUCUUUUAGCAGGGAAGAAGCGAAAGUGACGGUACCUGCAGAAAAAGCGCCGGCUAACUACGUGCCAGCAGCCGCGGUAAUACGUAGGGCGCAAGCGUUAUCCGGAAUUAUUGGGCGUAAAGAGCUCGUAGGCGGUUUGUCGCGUCUGCUGUGAAAUCCCGAGGCUCAACCUCGGGCCUGCAGUGGGUACGGGCAGACUAGAGUGCGGUAGGGGAGAUUGGAAUUCCUGGUGUAGCGGUGGAAUGCGCAGAUAUCAGGAGGAACACCGAUGGCGAAGGCAGAUCUCUGGGCCGUAACUGACGCUGAGGAGCGAAAGGGUGGGGAGCAAACAGGCUUAGAUACCCUGGUAGUCCACCCCGUAAACGUUGGGAACUAGUUGUGGGGACCAUUCCACGGUUUCCGUGACGCAGCUAACGCAUUAAGUUCCCCGCCUGGGGAGUACGGCCGCAAGGCUAAAACUCAAAGGAAUUGACGGGGACCCGCACAAGCGGCGGAGCAUGCGGAUUAAUUCGAUGCAACGCGAAGAACCUUACCAAGGCUUGACAUAUACGAGAACGGGCCAGAAAUGGUCAACUCUUUGGACACUCGUAAACAGGUGGUGCAUGGUUGUCGUCAGCUCGUGUCGUGAGAUGUUGGGUUAAGUCCCGCAACGAGCGCAACCCUCGUUCUAUGUUGCCAGCACGUAAUGGUGGGAACUCAUGGGAUACUGCCGGGGUCAACUCGGAGGAAGGUGGGGAUGACGUCAAAUCAUCAUGCCCCUUAUGUCUUGGGCUUCACGCAUGCUACAAUGGCCGGUACAAAGGGCUGCAAUACCGUGAGGUGGAGCGAAUCCCAAAAAGCCGGUCCCAGUUCGGAUUGAGGUCUGCAACUCGACCUCAUGAAGUCGGAGUCGCUAGUAAUCGCAGAUCAGCAACGCUGCGGUGAAUACGUUCCCGGGUCUUGUACACACCGCCCGUCAAGUCAUGAAAGUCGGUAACACCUGAAGCCGGUGGCCCAACCCUUGUGGAGGGAGCCGUCGAAGGUGGGAUCGGUAAUUAGGACUAAGUCGUAACAAGGUAGCCGUACCGGAAGGUGCGGCUGGAUCACCUCCUUUCU
rnacentral:rRNA from 1 species